GAUGAACGCUAGCGGCAGGCUUAAUACAUGCAAGUCGUGGGGCAGCAUGUCCCGCAGCAAUGCGGGAUGAUGGCGACCGGCAAACGGGGUGCGGAACACGUACACAACCUUCCUUUAAGUGGGGAAUAGGCCAGGGAAACUUGGGUUAAUACCCCGUAAUAUAUAGAAGCGGCAUCGUUUUUAUAUUAUAGCAGCAAUGCGCUUGAAGAUGGGUGUGCGGCUGAUAGAUAGUUGGCGGGGUAAUGGCCCACCAAGUCGACGAUCAGUAACUGGUGUGAGAGCACGACCAGUCACACGGGCACUGAGACACGGGCCCGACUCCUACGGGGAGGCAGCAGUAAGGAAUAUUGGUCAAUGGACGCAAGUCUGAACCAGCCAUGCCG
rnacentral:rRNA from 1 species